AGUGAACGCUGGCGGUAGGCCUAACACAUGCAAGUCGAACGGCAGCACAGUAAGAGCUUGCUCUUACGGGUGGCGAGUGGCGGACGGAUGAGGAAUACAUCGGAAUCUACUUUUUCGUGGGGGAUAACGUAGGGAAACUUACGCUAAUACCGCAUACGACCUACGGGCGAAAGCAGGGGAUCUUCGGACCUUGCGCGAUUGAAUGAGCCGAUGUCGGAUUAGCUAGUUGGCGGGGUAAAGGCCCACCAAGGCGACGAUCCGUAGCUGGUCUGAGAGGAUGAUCAGCCACACUGGAACUGAGACACGGUCCAGACUCCUACGGGAGGCAGCAGUGGGGAAUAUUGGACAAUGGGCGCAAGCCUGAUCCAGCCAUACCGCGUGGGUGAAGAAGGCCUUCGGGUUGUAAAGCCCUUUUGUUGGGAAAGAAAAGCAGCAGGUUAAUACCCCGCUGUUCUGACGGUACCCAAAGAAUAAGCACCGGCUAACUUCGUG
rnacentral:rRNA from 1 species